rnacentral:sRNA from 1 species
CUUUCUCUGUUCCCAAGACGGAAGAACCUGGGCCCAGUGAUUUUUGCACAGCCAAUCCACUGGGCCUCGGGGACGGAGUGGGCUCUGGUUUGCCCUUUUGAGUUGUAGGUGGGGAACUGAGCACAGGGCUGUGUGCUACUGGUCCCCUGUGACCUGUGAGGCAGGCCAGGGGUCCAGGGUAUCACCUGAUCCAAGUCUCUGUUCCCUUUCCUACCUUCACAGCAGCUGACACUGGAGUGCCCCUGGGGAGGGCAGGGGCCUCCCAGAUGGGUUGUGGCCAGAGCCGUGGGGAUGGAGCCCCUGGUGUGAGCCUUGCGGUCACUCGCUGGCAGGAAGACGGGGGUGGCCAUUCAUCCUGUGGCUUGGCGUCACAUGGGGCAUGGGGCUCAUGGUGGCAGGUGGACUGUCCGUGCCUGGAGGCGGUGCCCUCAGGCUGUGCUUCCCUUCCCGUCCUUCCCGCAGUUCACCAACCGCUGCCUGCUCAAGUGGCUGAAGUUGUGGGACCUGGUGGUGUUUGGCCACCAGAGGCCUGCCCGGAAGCCCAGGCCCAGUGUUGAGCCGGCCCGGGUCAGCAAGGAGGCCACAGCCCCAGGCAAGUGGAAGAGCCACGAACAGGUGCUGGAGGAGAUGCUGGAGGCUGGGCUGGACCCGAGCCAGCGACCGAGGCAGAAGGUGGCACUGCUCUGUGGGCCCCCGGGGCU